UGGGGAAUUUUGCACAAUGGAGGAAACUCUGAUGCAGCGACGCCGCGUGAGUGAUGAAGAUCUUCGGAUUGUAAAACUCUGUCCUUAGUGAAGAUAAUGACAGUAACUAAGAAGCAAGCCCUGGCUAAAUACGUGCCAGCAGCCGCGGUAAUACGUAUGGGGCAAGCGUUGUCCGGAAUUAUUGGGCGUAAAGGGUACGUAGGCGGUUUAAUAAGUCCUAAUUAAAAGGAUAUGGCUCAACCAUAGUAUGGUUAGGAAACUGUUGAACUUGAGUAGAUGAGGGGAAAGUGGAAUUCCAUGUGUAGCGGUGAAAUGCGUAGAUAUAUGGAGGAACACCAAUGGCGAAGGCAACUUUCUGGAAUCAAACUGACGCUGAGGUACGAAGGCGUGGGGAGCAAACAGG
rnacentral:rRNA from 1 species